rnacentral:rRNA from 1 species
CCUACGGGAGGCAGCAGUGGGGAAUAUUGCACAAUGGGCGAAAGCCUGAUGCAGCAACGCCGCGUGAAGGAAGACGGGUUUCGGCUCGUAAACCUCUAUCAACAGGGGCGAAAGAAAUUACGGUACCUGAAUAAGAAGCCCCGGCUAACUACGUGCCAGCAGCCGCGGUAAUACGGAGGGGGCAAGCGUUAUUCGGAAUUAGUGGGUGUAAAGGGUGAGUAGGCGGGACGGUAAGCCAGAUGUGAAAGCCUUGGGCUUAACCCGAGGAGUGCAUCUGGAACUAUCAAGCUAGAGUACAGGGGAGGAAAGCGGAAUUCGUAGUGUAGCGGUGAAAUGCGUAGAUAUGAGGAAGAACACCAGUGGCGAAGGCGGCUUUCUGGACUGAAACUGACGCUGAGGCACGAAAGCGUGGGGAGCGAACAGGAUUAGAUACCCUUGUAGUC